rnacentral:rRNA from 1 species
AUCGUAACUCCUACGGGAGGCAGCAGUGGGGAAUUUUGGACAAUGGGCGCAAGCCUGAUCCAGCCAUGCCGCGUGCGGGAAGAAGGCCUUCGGGUUGUAAACCGCUUUUGUCAGGGAAGAAAUCCUUUGAGUUAAUACCUCGGGGGGAUGACGGUACCUGAAGAAUAAGCACCGGCUAACUACGUGCCAGCAGCCGCGGUAAUACGUAGGGUGCGAGCGUUAAUCGGAAUUACUGGGCGUAAAGCGUGCGCAGGCGGUCUUGCAAGACAGGUGUGAAAUCCCCGGGCUUAACCUGGGAACUGCACUUGUGACUGCAAGGCUGGAGUACGGCAGAGGGGGAUGGAAUUCCGCGUGUAGCAGUGAAAUGCGUAGAUAUGCGGAGGAACACCGAUGGCGAAGGCAAUCCCCUGGGCCUGUACUGACGCUCAUGCACGAAAGCGUGGGGAGCAAACAGGAUUAGAAACCCUAGUAGUCCUAGAGC